CCUCAGUAACGGCGAGUGAAGCGGCAACAGCUCAAAUUUGAAAUCUGGUUCCCUUGGGGGCCCGAGUUGUAAUUUGUAGAGGAUGCCUUCGGGUUUGGCCCCGGCCUAAGUUCCUUGGAACAGGACGUCACAGAGGGUGAGAAUCCCGUAUGUGGCUGGAGGUCUAUGCCCAUGUGAAGCUCCUUCGACGAGUCGAGUUGUUUGGGAAUGCAGCUCAAAAUGGGUGGUAAAUUUCAUCUAAAGCUAAAUACCGGCGGGAGACCGAUAGCGCACAAGUAGAGUGAUCGAAAGAUGAAAAGCACUUUGGAAAGAGAGUUAAAAAGUACGUGAAAUUGUUGAAAGGGAAGCGCUUGCGACCAGACUUGCCCUCGGUUGAUCAACCGGUGAUUCCACCGGUGCACUCGGCUGAGGUCAGGCCAGCAUCGGUUUAGGCGGUCGGAGAAAGGUCGCGGGAAUGUGGCUCCCUCCGGGGAGUGUUAUAGCCCGUGAUGUCAUGCGACCAGCCUGGACCGAGGACCGCGCCUUUGUGCUAGGAUGCUGGCGUAAUGGUCGUAAGCGACCCGUCUUGAAACACGGACCAAGGAGUCUAACAUCUAUGCGAGUGUUUGGGUGUCAAACCCAUGCGCGUAAUGAAAGUGAACGGAGGUGGGAACCCUUAAGGGUGCACCAUCGACCGAUCCUGAUGUCUUCGGAUGGAUUUGAGUAAGAGCAUAGCUGUUGGGACCCGAAAGAUGGUGAACUAUGCCUGAAUAGGGUGAAGCCAGAGGAAACUCUGGUGGAGGCUCGCAGCGGUUCUGACGUGCAAAUCGAUCGUCAAAUUUGGGUAUAGGGGCGAAAGACUAAUCGAACCAUUUGCUAGGUGGUUAAGAGGCGGAUUAAAAGUCCGUCUAGUCCUGGUUCACGGGGCGACACUGUCAAAUUGCGGGGACACCCUUAGAGCUCAAACAACCGCAGCCCAGCUGAAAGGCAGGUGCGCACCAGGGUAAUGACCUCGGGGAU
rnacentral:rRNA from 1 species